UGGGGAANCUUCCGCAAUGGGCGGAAGCCUGACGGAGCAAUACCGCGUGAGGGAGGAAUGCCUUUGGGUUGUAAACCUCUUUUCUCAGGGAAGAAGAUCUGACGGUACCUGAGGAAUAAGUAUCGGCUAACUCCGUGCCAGCAGCCGCGGUAAUACGGAGGAUGCAAGCGUUAUCCGGAAUCAUUGGGCGUAAAGCGUCCGCAGGUGGUUUCCAAAGUCUGCUGUUAAAGACUGGAGCUCAACUCCGGAACGGCGGUGGAAACUUGGAAACUAGAGUUCGGUAGGGGUAGCAGGAAUUCCCAGUGUAGCGGUGAAAUGCGUAGAUAUUGGGAAGAACAUCGGUGGCGAAGGCGUGCUACUGGACCGUAACUGACACUCAGGGACGAAAGCUAGGGGAGCGAAAGGGAUUAGAUACCCCUGUAGUCCUAGCUGUAAACGAUGGAAACUAGGUGUGGCCUGA
rnacentral:rRNA from 1 species